GCUCCACAAACUUUCAAAUCCCAACUUCAUCUUCCUUCUUCAUUUCUCAAUUUCACUCACUUCCUCUCUCCUCUGUUUUUCUUCUAUAUAUCCAAAAUUCAUUCCUAAUCCCAAACCACUUCUCUACCCUACUUCAAUUUCAAUCAUCAAUUAAAAGCUUUCAACAAACUCCUCCCUCUCUUAUUCACACACACACACACACACACACACACAUAUAUAAUAUAAUUUCAUGAAGACACACCAACAGGAACCGCCGGUUUCUGCUUCCCAGAUCCACUCGGUGGAGCUUGACCAGAAGGUAUUCCAACCUCACUCAAUCCCCUCCGCUGCUGCUUCCCCUCACCGUAACGGUGCCAAGGAGGAACCGCCCAUCGUUUCCGUUUCCGAUUCCGACCACCAGACAUACCGACAGGAACCGCCAAUUUCUGCUUCUCAGAUCCACUCGGCGGAGCUUGACCACAAGGAAUUACAACCUCAGUCAAUUCUCCCCGCCGCCGCCGCCGCCGCCGCUUCCGCUCACUGUAACGGUGCCAAGGAGGAACCGCCCAUCGUUUUCGUUUCCGAUUCCGACCAUCAGAAAUUGAGGACUUCGCCAGCCAGACAAACUUCUGUUUCAAUGGGAGAGAUAAAUCGUGCAGAGUACGUUUCGGUUGGCGAAUCACCUUCUCCUGCAGUCGUCAGUAAUGCGAAGAAAGUUUCUGUAUUACCACUUGUGUUUCUCAUCUUCUAUGAGGUUUCAGGCGGUCCAUUUGGAGUUGAGGAUAGUGUUGGGGCAGCUGGUCCUUUGUUGGCUCUUCUUGGAUUCUUAGUUUUUCCACUUAUAUGGAGCAUUCCUGAGGCAUUGAUUACUGCUGAGAUGGGGACUAUGUUCCCCGAAAAUGGUGGUUAUGUUGUUUGGGUUUCUUCUGCAUUAGGUCCAUUUUGGGGAUUUCAACAGGGUUGGAUGAAAUGGCUUAGUGGAGUUAUUGAUAAUGCUUUAUAUCCUGUCUUGUUUCUUGAUUAUUUGAAGUCAGAGAUCCCAGCUCUUGGUGGAGGUCUUCCAAGAGUUGCUGCAGUUUUGGCUUUGACAGUGAUCCUCACUUACAUGAAUUAUAGAGGAUUAACAAUUGUUGGUUGGGUAGCUGUAAUACUUGGUGUUUUCUCAAUCCUUCCUUUUGCGGUUAUGGGACUUGUGUCUAUUCCCAAGCUAAGGCCAGCUAGAUGGGUUGUGGUGAACCUAAAGGAUGUUGACUGGAAUCUGUAUUUGAACACUCUUUUCUGGAAUUUGAAUUAUUGGGAUUCUAUUAGCACAUUGGCUGGAGAAGUGGAAAAUCCAAACAAAACACUCCCUAAAGCACUUUUUUAUGCCUUGAUUUUGGUUGUUCUUAGUUACUUUUUGCCUCUUUUAAGUGGGACAGGAGCCAUUGCGCUUAAUCGCGAACUGUGGACUGAUGGCUACUUCUCUGAUGUUGCUAAAAUUAUUGGAGGGGCUUGGUUGGGUUGGUGGAUCCAAGGUGCUGCUGCAAUGUCGAAUAUGGGAAUGUUUGUGGCUGAGAUGAGCAGUGAUUCUUUCCAACUUCUUGGAAUGGCAGAACGUGGUAUGUUACCAGAGUUCUUCAGCAAACGGUCUCGUCAUGGGACACCAUUGAUUGGGAUUCUAUUCUCAGCCUCAGGUGUUGUUUUGCUUUCAUGGUUAAGCUUUCAAGAAAUCGUGGCUGCAGAAAACUUCUUGUACUGCUUUGGAAUGAUUCUGGAAUUCUUAGCCUUUAUCAAGCUAAGGAUUAAACACCCAGCUGCAUCUCGGCCAUACAAGAUUCCUGUGGGAACCGCUGGAUCAAUCCUGAUGUGCAUUCCUCCAACAAUAUUAAUAUGCAUAGUAUUGGCUCUUUCAACAGUCAAAGUGAUGAUUGUGAGUCUAGCCGCUGUGGCAAUUGGCUUAUUGUUGCAGCCCGGUCUCAAGUAUGUAGAAAAGAAGAGAUGGCUCAAAUUCUCUGUUAGUGCUGACCUCCCUGAUCUCCAUUUUGCCAACCGAGACCGGCCAGACACCUUGGUAUAUUAACAGGACUUCACUGAUCAUUCGGUUUCAAAGAAAGGAAGACUCAUUCUGAGAUGAUAAUGGCGCAUUGGAGAUCAAUAUCAGUUGAUUCAAUGGCAGACUCAAGAUCUUGGUUAUGUCUAUCUUUCUACAACAGUUUGUUGGUGCCUUUACAAAAGGCAUUGAAAUUCCGUGGAGGAAUCAAAAAGGCUAAAAGAAAAAGAUAUCCGAAAGCUGUUUAUACUUUAUAGUAAGCUUUUGGUUGAAUGAAAUGUUUACUCAUUUUAGUAACAUUUUGAAAUUUUCUCGGAAAAAGAAAAAGGAUCAAAUUAUACACGAUACUUUAUAUAGAGACUCAAUCGUGUGUGUACUCUCAAAUUUGUCGUUAUAACACCAUUGAAGUGAAGGCAAUUUAUGAUAAGAUGAUGUUUGAGUUGCUAUA